UUCCUUGUCAGGUAAACUGAGGCUGGGCGGGCUGCCGACCAAGGUCACGCCUGGGGCAGCAGCAAGGCUGAGCUUGAACCCGCUGCCUGGACUACUUGAAUGGCUUUGAUUCACGGCUCACGAGUGAUCCGGGAGAGAGAUUGGGCUAUCCUAUUAUUUGAAGCAGAAAACAAGCCAUCCUGUCACUGACAGCCUCGGAAACUGUGCCUCUAUGUUGAGGUCAGAAGAGGGUAUCGAAUCCCCUGGAACUGGAGAUGGUUGUAAUCAACAGUGUUCUGCCUGCAUGUAUGCCUGCAUGCCAGAAGAGGGCACCAGAUCUCAUUACAGAUGGUUGUGACCCACCAUGUGGUUGUUGGGAAUUGAACUCAGGACCUCUGGAAGAGCAGCCAGUGCUCUUAACUGCUGAGCCAUCUCUCCAGCUCAAGAAAAAUUUUUUUAAAUAAAAAAAAGAAAGAAGAUAUGAGAAUACAAAGGAAUAGAGUAUA